rnacentral:rRNA from 1 species
GACGAACGCUGGCGGCGUGCCUAAUACAUGCAAGUCGAACGAGAGCGACCGGUGCUUGCACUGGUCAAUCUAGUGGCGAACGGGUGAGUAACACGUGGGUAACCUGCCCAUCAGAGGGGGAUAACAUUCGGAAACGGAUGCUAAAACCGCAUAGGUCUUCGAACCGCAUGGUUUGAAGAGGAAAAGAGGCGCAAGCUUCUGCUGAUGGAUGGACCCGCGGUGCAUUAGCUAGUUGGUGAGGUAACGGCUCACCAAGGCCGUGAUGCAUAGCCGACCUGAGAGGGUGAUCGGCCACAUUGGGACUGAGACACGGCCCAAACUCCUACGGGAGGCAGCAGUAGGGAAUCUUCCGCAAUGGACGCAAGUCUGGCGGAGCAACGCCGCGUGAGUGAAGAAGGUUUUCGGAUCGUAAAACUCUGUUGUUAGAGAAGAAUAAGUGCUAGAGUAACUGUUAGCGCCUUGACGGUAGCUAACCAGAAAGCCACGGCUAACUACGUG